GAGAGAAUGAGUUGUAUUAUUUCAUUCAACACCGAAUCAAUAUACUUGUACAGUAUUUAUACUUCUCCAGCUACAACACAGUUACAACUAAUCAAUAAAUGUUCCCUCCAAUUUACACACUUAAGAUCAACUCAGCUCAAUUCCACUCUCAAUCCUUACACUUUGCAUCAGUAACUCAGCAAGCAAGGAACAUCGGUGAUGGGUCUCUUCGGUGUCCAAUUGCACUUCUGGGCCCAACUACCAAAUCGCAUCCCACAAUUUGUCACACCAGAUGACUAGUUCCAUGCAAGAAAAGAGAAAACGUAGCCGCACCGAUGCAGAGGGCAAUGAAGCUCUAGACCUGACAACUGAGCAAAUCUACAAAAUCUUCCCUUGCAUGCUACAGAUUUGCAACAUCAACAAUAAAGAAACAAACCCAAACAAAGCACAAACAUGUAAUCGAAGAAAAAACACAGGAUCACCACACAAAAACACAAGGGCAGCUUAAGAAAACCCUCACCACUCACCGCUUACUGCCCCAAUCACCAAAACUAUUUACACCCCUCAACGUUGGUAGGGAGGGAUACCCAAUGAAGGGGGAGGAGGGAGGUGACCUCCCUCUACCUAGAGAGGCAGAAGGAGACCGCCAUGCGCGACAGAAUACCAAGACCUAGCCUUAAAAGUGAACCCUAACGAGAGAAGAAAAAACGAGAUUUUAAUACCACCUUUAUUAGACCUCAACUAAAAAUUUC
rnacentral:misc_RNA from 1 species